rnacentral:rRNA from 1 species
AUUGAACGCUGGCGGCAGGCCUAACACAUGCAAGUCGAGCGGAAGAAGGGAGCUUGCUCCUGGAUUCAGGGGCGGACGGGUGAGUAAUGCCUAGGAAUCUGCCUGGUAGUGGGGGAUAACGUCCGGAAACGGGCGAUAAUACCGCAUACGUCCUGAGGGAGAAAGUGGGGGAUCUUCGGAUCUCUCGCUAUCAGAUGAGCCUAGGUCGGAUUAGCUAGUUGGUGGGGUAAAGGCCUACCAAGGCGACGAUCCGUAACUGGUCUGAGAGGAUGAUCAGUCACACUGGAACUGGAACACGGUCCAGACUCCUACGGGAGGCAGCAGUGGGGAAUAUUGGACAAUGGGCGAAAGCCUGAUCCAGCCAUGCCGCGUGUGUGAAGAAGGUCUGCGGAUUGUAAAGCACUUUUAGUUGGGAGGAAGGGCAGUAAGUUAAUACCUUGCUGUUUUGACGGUACCCACAGAAUAAGCACCGGCUAACUUCGUG